rnacentral:lncRNA from 1 species
GUGGAUCGUUGGCUUUAAAGAGUGGAUUUUCUUCUGAAACCAUCGAAUAAAUAAGACAGGCAGAAGAACUAAGUGGCAGGGAGGAUGGGCUCCUUCCUGCGUUACCAGAGGUUGCUCAGAAACCGAACACAUUCAGAGGAAAAGAUGAGAAGUGAAAAACCCAUGAAGAUCAGCUGAAAGGAUGGGAAUUAUCAUUCAGCUCCAAAAUAAAAUGCCCAGCAACUUGUGAUGUGAAAGUACC